AAGGAUAUUUGGACAGUUUAUUUGGAUAAAUACAUUCCCAUUUGAACCAUUGAUGUGGAUCCAAAGGUUAUUAUUAUAUUCUUUCACCUCUCACAUUAAGCCACUCCUCUCACUUGAUAUAUUAUAUAUAUAUAUAUAUUAUGUGAGAUUGCGAGCCGAAGAUUGUGGCAACCGCUGCAUACUCAUAGAAAACUCUCUCCACAAGC
rnacentral:lncRNA from 1 species